UACGAAGGGUGCAAGCGUUACUCGGAAUUACUGGGCGUAAAGCGUGCGUAGGUGGUUUGUUAAGUCUGUUGUGAAAGCCCCGGGCUCAACCUGGGAAUGGCAAUGGAUACUGGCAAGCUAGAGUGCGGUAGAGGGUAGUGGAAUUCCCGGUGGUAGCGGUGAAAUGCGUAGAGAUCGGGAGGAACACCAGUGGCGAAGGCGGCUACCUGGACCGACAUUGACGCUGAGGCGCGAAAGCGUGGGGAGCAAACAGG
rnacentral:rRNA from 1 species